UACGUAGGGGGCAAGCGUUGUCCGGAUUUAUUGGGCGUAAAGAGCUCGUAGGCGGCUCGAUAAGUCGGCGGUGAAAACUCGGGACUCAACUCCGAGGCGCCCGUCGAUACUGUCGAGCUUGAGUCCGGUAGGGGAGUGUGGAAUUCCUGGUGUAGCGGUGAAAUGCGCAGAUAUCAGGAGGAACACCGAUGGCGAAGGCAGCACUCUGGGCAGGCACUGACGCUGAGGAGCGAAAGCGAGGGGAGCAAACAGG
rnacentral:rRNA from 1 species